AUGAAUAAUAUAAUCAAUUAUACAAAUUCAGGAGCUAAUCAGAGAACAGUAGACAGUUGGAAAAUAAUUAAUGGCACGGACCCGGUGAUGCCAACGCUAACCCACCUGACAACGCAAACACAGCAGGAUCAAACUCAGCCUCGACAGGGACAUCCAAUAGUCAUUCGGGAUAUUACGGAUAUAAUAUCAUCUUCUUCAACUGCAGUAUCAAAAAAAGGGCGAAAAAUGUAUCAGUGGUUCAGAAAGAAGAGGAGGACAUACAGAGAAGCUAGGUGGUUCUGUGAGGCCAGGGAGAGGCACCUGGUGGAGUUAAGCCAAGCUAAACUGCAGAAACAGCUGAGAAAAGAGGAGAUGGACCGGCAACGGAGACAGGCAGAGGAAAAGGAGUAUGAGAGGAUGAAGGCUAAACAGCAGGAGAACGUCAGAGAGUGUUAG
rnacentral:lncRNA from 1 species